rnacentral:misc_RNA from 1 species
GAUGAAGAACGUAGCGAAAUGCGAUACGUAGUGUGAAUUGCAGAAUUCGGUGAAUCAUCGAAUCUUUGAACGCACAUUGCACCUCUCGGUAUUCCGGGAGGUAUGCCUGUUCGAGCGUCAUUUGUACCCUCAAGCUCUGCUUGGUGUUGGGUGUUUGUUCCGCCUCUGUGUGUGAACUCGCCUCAAAACAAUUGGCAGCCGGCGUACUUGUUUCGGAGCGCAGCACAUUUUGCGAUCCAGAUCAACGUACAGCGGCAUCCAAGAAGCCUUAUUUAACGCUCUUGACCUCGGAUCAGGUAGGGAUACCCGCUGAACUUAAGCAUAUCAAUAAGCGGAGGA